AGAGUUUGAUCCUGGCUCAGAACAAACGCUGGCGGCGUGCAUAACACAUGCAAGUCUAACGGGAAUGUCGGCUUCGGCUGGCUAGUACCGUGGCGAACGGGUGAGUAACACGUGGGUAAUCUACCCUCGAGUCUGGGAUAACCCUGCGAAAGCGGGGCUAAUACCGGAUAAGACCACGCCCUGCUCGCAGGGUGCGGUAAAAGGUGGCCUCUUCUUGAAAGCUAUCACUUGAGGAUGAGCCCGCGGCCUAUUAGCUAGUUGGUAGGGUAACGGCCUACCAAGGCGACGAUAGGUAGCCGGCCUGAGAGGGUGUACGGCCACACUGGCACUGAGAUACGGGCCAGACUCCUACGGGAGGCAGCAGUGAGGAAUUUUGCGCAAUGGGGGAAACCCUGACGCAGCAACGCCGCGUGAGUGAUGAAGGCCUUCGGGUUGUAAAGCUCUUUUAGUGGGGAAGAAGCCCACCCGGGAUAAUACCCCGGGUGUCUGACGGUACCCACAGAAAAAGUUCCGGCUAACUACGUGCCAGCAGCCGCGGUAAUACGUAGGGAGCAAGCGUUGUUCGGAAUUAUUGGGCGUAAAGAGCGCGUAGGCGGUUUGGUAAGUCUGACGUGAAAUCCCAGAGCUUAACUCUGGAACUGCGUUGGAUACUGCCAGGCUUGAGUGUGGGAGAGGAGAGUGGAAUUCUCAGUGUAGAGGUGAAAUUCGUAGAUAUUGGGAGGAACACUCUGUGGCGAAGGCGGCUCUCUGGACCACAACUGACGCUGAGGCGCGAAAGCUAGGGUAGCAAACGGGAUUAGAUACCCCGGUAGUCCUAGCCGUAAACGAUGGGCACUAGGUGUUGGAGGUAUCGACCCCUCCAGUGUCGCAGCUAACGCAUUAAGUGCUCCGCCUGGGGAGUACGGUCGCAAGACUAAAACUCAAAGGAAUUG
rnacentral:rRNA from 1 species